GAUUAAGAACGUAGCGAAAUGCGAUACGUAGUGUGAAUUGCAGAAUUCAGUGAAUCAUCGAAUCUUUGAACGCACAUUGCGCCCUUUGGUAUUCCAAAGGGCAUGCCUGUUCGAGCGUCAUUUGUACCUUCAAGCUUUGCUUGGUGUUGGGCGUUUUUUGUCUCCCUCUUUCUGGGAGACUCGCCUUAAAACGAUUGGCAGCCGGCCUACUGGUUUCGGAGCGCAGCACAUAUUUUGCGCUUUGUAUCAGGAGAAAAGGACGGUAAUCCAUCAAGACUCUACAUUUUUAACUUUUGACCUCGGAUCAGGUAGGGAUACCCGCUGAACUUAAGCAUAUCAAUAAGCGGAGGA
rnacentral:misc_RNA from 1 species